rnacentral:tRNA from 1 species
GGAGGUGUUCGGUGUCUGGUGACGCUCGCAGUCUUCAAAAUUGUCGUGGGGCCGAUAAGGUCCCGGGUGGGUUCGAUUCCCAUACGCCUCCGCCA